rnacentral:rRNA from 1 species
CCCUUAGAUGUCCUGGGCCGCACGCGCGUUACACUGAUGCAUUCAACGAGCUUAUAACCUUGGCCGAGAGGCCUGGGCAAUCUUGUUAACGUGCAUCGUGAUAGGGAUAGAUUAUUGAAAUUAUUAAUCUUGAACGAGGAAUUCCUAGUAAACGCAGAUCAUCAAUUUGCAUUGAUUACGUCCCUGCCCUUUGUACACACCGCCCGUCGCACCUACCGAUUGAAUGGUCCGGUGAAGCCUCGGGAUUGUGGCCAGUUCACUUUAUUGGGAGUUGGCUGUGAGAACUUGUCUAAACCUUAUCAUUUAGAGGAAGGUGAAGUCGUAACA